rnacentral:rRNA from 1 species
CAGCCCGGUAAUUCCAGCUCCAAUAGCGUAUAUUAAAGUUGUUGCAGUUAAAAAGCUCGUAGUUGAAUUUCGGGAUUAAUAUGCUGGUCGUGCCAUUGGUACGUACUAGUAUUAUUGAUUUCUCCCUUCUGAUGAAUCAUGAUGUCAUUAAUUUGAUGUCAUGGGGAAUCAGGACUGUUACUUUGAAAAAAUUAGAGUGUUUAAAGCAGGCUCGCGCUUGAAUACAUUAGCAUGGAAUAAUGAAAUAGGACGUUUGAUUCUAUUUUGUUGGUUUCUAGGAUUGACGUAAUGAUUAAUAGGGAUAGUUGGGGGCAUUAGUAUUCAAUUGUCAGAGGUGAAAUUCUUGGAUUUAUUGAAGACUAACUACUGCGAAAGCAUUUGCCAAGGAUGUUUUCAUUAAUCAAGAACGAAAGUUAGGGGAUCGAAGACGAUCAGAUACCGUCGUAGUCUUAACCAUAAACUAUGCCGACUAGGGAUCGGAUGAUGUUAAUUUUUUAAUGACUCAUUCGGCGCCUUACG